AGCGCCGCCAUGGCCAGAGGGGGGCGGGGCGGGGGCGGCCCCGGGGCGGGGGAAGCGCGGGAGGCGCGACGGGGUCCCGGCAUGGGGCGCCGCUCCCCGGCACCUGGGGCUGCGGGCUCCGCAGCCGCCUAUGCCCAGCGGUUCAGAGUCCUGACGGGAAGGACAGCUGGGGGCACAGGCAGGGCCUCGACAUCCCACAGGACCCCAGGACCAGAGCAAAGGCGCUCGGAUGGAGCGUGCCGUCCUGCAGCCGUGGUGCAGGGAGUGGUGCCCGGGGGAGGCUGGAGCCGCUGCUGCCCCUUACCUGUGCUCACGUCGCGGAAAUUCAUGGCGCUGGCGCAGUGCGUGGCACGUGUGUGCAGCAUGAGGGAAGCAGAGGCUACGAAGAACUGCUGGGCUGUCACACCGCUGAAGCUGCCAUCCCCCAUGGCCUUGCCUGCACGGGCCAGGCAUCCCAACGAGCCAGGGUGAGCACUGCACAGGCAGAGCGGCCGUCUGAUGUCACCUGCAGGAGCACAGACAGAGAAUAUCCUGGGGCUGCAUGGAGUCAUACUGCACAUGCUCUGUCUUUGGAAAGAAACACCUGAGUUACAGCAAAGUUGAAACUGUAUAAAUGGGCAAGAAAUACAGAACUACAAACUGCUCUGAGCCCUACAGAGAAUUACAGAUCUCAGGGUAGAGUAACAUGAAAAUUCCUACGGUUGGCACAGCAGCAAAGGGCAGCACUGGUGCCUACAGGUGUCUCCUGGCACAAGCCAUCAGCCCCCCCAGGACUUCAUGGAGAGGCCUCAUCUCCUUAGGAGAUACCCAUGGCCCAGUACUGUUCCUAGAGCCAUGGAUUGCCUAUGAUACCCCAUGGAUGAGCACAGACGAAAACAAGUUGUUGCCUGCCACAGAAGAGUUGUCUUGGUCACUGGUUCCAUAAGAGGCAUAAUAGCGAAACACUACAAAGACUUCAGUCUGAGGACAUUUUACUGCAGUCAAGUUCUGUAGUGAAUAGACCAUAAAGGAAGUGUGCCAAGAAAUGGAUGCGGAGUGCUUUUAAGAGAGCCUCUCACUGCUGUAGGAAAUGCCCAUGAAUUAGGCUGUGCCUGCCAGAGGGGAGAGAAGAGUGGAGGAUGUUUCAACAUGUGCCUCCAAAUUCCAAAAGUCAAUGGAAUACUGCAUUUGCCUUUCAAGGUUAUGCGCUACAGAAGCUGCUUUGCCAUGGCAACGUAGUACAAGCAGACUCUCCUGUAUCCAGCUCUCCACAGCUUCCUUCCUUCCCUUAAACAACAGACUUACUCCCAAGAAAGGGUCACAAGGAAGCAGUGUCUGAAUGUACCUGGUACACUCCUCUCGUGCUUUGGAUGAUACCGUCUCCUUGAAGAGGGAGCUGCUCUGCUUGAAAAAUGGCUCAUACUUGUCAGUUCCACAUGCUGGGUAAAUGCGCCGGUAGCUGCCCAGGUGGGAGUUCUCAUAGUCCUCUGCCUCAGAGAGCCAGGCUGCCUGGCUGCUCUCUGACUCCUCAUGUCUGCAGACCAGGAGAAAGCACAGAAAGCACACGCAGGCAGGGAGCUGUGAUGGGAGGCUCCAAAUACUUUACUGAGAGACAAUGGACAUAGCUAGCUUUUUACUCCUGUCUUUCCCUAUCUGAGAGUCUGUUUCACACAGGUUCGCUGCUGGGAACCAACAAUUCCCACUUCUUCAUUCUCUACAUGGUGAAUGCUGGUGGAGCAUUUUCAUUUGUCUUCCCUGCUGCCAGGAUCACACCCUGCCCCUCGGCCUUUUCACCCAACUAAGCUGGUUGCCAGAGGAGUUCAAUUACAGUGUGCAUGUACAAGGAGUGUCUGCCAUUCCACACUUAGCUGGGAGCUCUCCAGCCAGCAGGGAGCUUGGAGCAGUGGAGGCUGCAGGGGCAUGAAGUGUACAGGGUAACAAGCUCAUCUUCUCCAGCCUGCAGUUUUCUCAGGUUUCCUAAUUGAAAUGGGAGCUGGAGGCAGUUCCUGCCUUGCCCUGCAUGGCAGGAAAAGCCCGGGCAGCAGCCUCAUCUAAAAUGGCCUCGAGAGGCCAUGCAGAUUAAUAAAUCAUGAAAGGGCAUGCAGACAAAGAAGGGUGGGAAAAUUCUCAACCCUGGGAAAGGAAUCCUGCUUUGGAGAAGGGCCCUGUGCCCCGGGGUGCUCCUGGUCCCUGAAGCAGUGCUAUGUCCUGUCCUGUGAGAGUCACUGUGAGACCAGGGAUGCUGGCACAGCCUGACAGCACUGAAGCAUGUGAGGACAUGAAGCUCUAUCAGGAAGCCCAGGGAUCAUAGCGCAGGGAGUCCCAGAUCCCUUCUGAGAUCAGUUCUGGACAGGCUCUUCCCGUCCAGAGCGUGGAUGGCUUGGGUGAGCUCCAUCAGAUACUGCACAGAGCCACGGCCUCAGGUAGCGUAAGUGUCAGAGCCCAUCUUUUCCUCACUAGGGACCUGCAGUACUAGUAGAAAGAGCAAUACCUGGAUACAUGAGGAGUCCGAUGAGCCUGGAGGAGUCGUUCCUUUGCCCGCUGCUUGUCUUCCUCCAUCAUUUUCCUUUUGUUACAGGCAUGCACAUUUAUCAAGUUGAUGGUGUCAAACAGGAGAGCAUCCUUUACCUCAUGGUCCAGGUUUCUCCUGCUGGGAUCGAUGUACCUCAUGGUAGCAAACCGGGCCAGACCCUCCUCGUAGACAAAAAUCCUCAGUGGGUCACAAGAUGUGACCAGCACAUAGAUACGCAUGUCAAACUUAAAGCCAUCAAUAAGGAAAGGCUGUGAGGAAAAAGGCAGGAGCAAGCAUGAGAUAAGGGAACAUUGCUGGGUGUGCUGCUGACUCCUCAAGGCCAGCUGCUCCACCUGCACUGCCUGCUCCACCUCCAGCAGCUCAGCAGUGAGGAGGAAGACAAGCUUCCACUGUGCCUCUGGCAGAUUCAAGAGACAUGGGGCAAAGGACACGAGGAGGAGGCAGGGUGCAGGAACAGCUAGGAAGCUGCGGUCCUUCACCUGUGUUUCAGGACAGUCCCCAUUACCUUAGAGAUAUACUGCUGACAGAUCAUAUGCUCUCCGUGUUUGAUCUCUUCUGGAUUACGUGUUAUGAAGAUACCUCGACCUUGGCAGCCACUGUCUGGCUUGCAGAUGAAUGUUCUGUUCUUCCUCCUGCGUCUGUAGGCCUGGAAGUCUCCAUAGCUGUACAACGAAGGGGUGACUGUUACAUGCUGCAGAAAAUGAGUCCCUCAUCUCUCUGGCAACGUUUAGAUAUCCAAACUAUUGUGCUACUAACAGACCUAAGUUCUGCAGCAAAUAAAUAGUACAGCAAUUCCUGGUU